rnacentral:rRNA from 1 species
UACGUAGGGGGCAAGCGUUGUCCGGAAUUAUUGGGCGUAAAGAGCGCGUAGGCGGUCCGAUAAGUCGGCUGUGAAAGUCAGGGGCUCAACCCUUGAAAGCCGGCCGAUACUGUCGGACUAGAGUCCGGAAGAGGCAAGUGGAAUUCCCGGUGUAGCGGUGAAUGACGCAGAUAUCGGGAGGAACACCAAUGGCGAAGGCAGCUUGCUGGGACGGUACUGACGCUGAGGAGCGAAAGCGGUGGGGAGCGAACGAGG